rnacentral:rRNA from 1 species
UACGGAGGAUGCAAGCGUUAUCCGGAUUUAUUGGGUUUAAAGGGUGCGUAGGCUGUUCGACAAGUCAGGGGUGAAAGCCCGGCGCCUAACGCCGGAACUGCCUUUGAUACUGCCGAGCUGGAAUACGGAUGCCGUGGGAGGAAUGAGUAGUGUAGCGGUGAAAUGCAUAGAUAUUACUCAGAACACCGAUUGCGAAGGCAUCUCACGAAUCCGUCAUUGACGCUGAGGCACGAAAGCGUGGGGAU